UUUGGUUUUUNNCCUGGCUCAGGAUGAACGCUGGCGGCGUGCCUAAUACAUGCAAGUCGAACGAACUUCCGUUAAUUGAUUAUGASGUGCUUGCACUGAAUGAGAUUUUAACACGAAGUGAGUGGCGGACGGGUGAGUAACACGUGGGUAACCUGCCCAGAAGCAGGGGAUAACACCUGGAAACAGAUGCUAAUACCGUAUAACAGAGAAAACCGCCUGGUUUUCUUUUAAAAGAUGGCUCUGCUAUCACUUCUGGAUGGACCCGCGGCGCAUUAGCUAGUUGGUGAGGUAACGGCUCACCAAGGCGAUGAUGCGUAGCCGACCUGAGAGGGUAAUCGGCCACAUUGGGACUGAGACACGGCCCAGACUCCUACGGGAGGCAGCAGUAGGGAAUCUUCCACAAUGGACGCAAGUCUGAUGGAGCAACGCCGCGUGAGUGAAGAAGGGUUUCGGCUCGUAAAGCUCUGUUGUUAAAGAAGAACGUGGGUGAGAGUAACUGUUCACCCAGUGACGGUAUUUAACCAGAAAGCCACGGCUAACUACGUGCCAGCAGCCGGGGAAAUA
rnacentral:rRNA from 1 species